UAGGGAAUCUUCCGCAAUGGACGCAAGUCUGACGGAGCAACGCCGCGUGAGUGAAGGAGGAUUUCGGUUCGUAAACUCUGUUGUUAGAGAAGAACAGCGCAUAGAGUAACUGUUAUGCGUGUGACGGUAUCUAACCAGAAAGCCACGGCUAACUACGUGCCAGCAGCCGCGGUAAUACGUAGGUGGCAAGCGUUGUCCGGAUUUAUUGGGCGUAAAGCGAGCGCAGGCGGUCAAUUAAGUCUGAUGUGAAAGCCCCCGGCUCAACCGGGGAGGGUCAUUGGAAACUGGUUGACUUGAGUGCAGAAGAGGAGAGUGGAAUUCCAUGUGUAGCGGUGAAAUGCGUAGAUAUAUGGAGGAACACCAGUGGCGAAGGCGACUCUCUGGUCUGUAACUGACGCUGAGGCUCGAAAGCGUGGGUAGCAAACAGG
rnacentral:rRNA from 1 species